GACGAACGCUGGCGGCGUGCUUAACACAUGCAAGUCGAGCGGAGCGGCGAACGGGUGAGUAACGCGUGAGUAACUGCCCCCCUCUCUGGGAUAACAGUUGGAAACGGCUGCUAAUACCGGAAAGUGGGGGAUGACUCGCGUCCGAUCAGCUUGUUGGUGGGGUAGUGGCCUACCAAGGCGACGACGGGUAGCCGGCCUGAGAGGGCGACCGGCCAAAUUGGGCGGGGAUACGGGCCAAAGUACUACGGGAGGCAGCAGUGGGGAAUAGUGAGGAAGGGGGGAAAGCCGGAUGCAGCAACGCCGAGUGCGGGAUGACGGCCUUCGGGUUGUAAACCGCUUUCAGCCAUGACGCGGUAGUGGCAGAAGAAGCACCGGCUAACUACGUGCCAGCAGCCGCGGUAAUAC
rnacentral:rRNA from 1 species